UAUGUUUAGGAGCGGGAUCCACCCAAGAACGACCAGUCCUGUGGUGGUACGGAAGGCACGAACUCCGCAAACGUCCCACGCCGCCAAGACUAAUAAAGGAAAGAAAGCCUCAACCAGAACCACAUUCCUUUUGCGUGCAGAUUUAGCUAAGUGUCUGACUCUAUGGGUCAUAGUUCCCUGUUGUUGCGGCCAGUGCUCGUUUGCGCGCGCGUGAUCAAACAACGAAAGGAUGCCUCAGGGUCCCCCCACUUGACUUGGCCCAGGCCUAAGUGAAAGUGAAGUGGUGGGCCUACCUAUCCCAACCAGGGGUAUGCUGGGGGAAAGGCCCUUUGUAUAGGGUUUCCUGCGCACCCUAAUUAAACAUUUCUAUGUUCUUAGUCAAGCCUAAUCUUAUUGAAAACUAAAGCGCUAACGCUAUAAUAAUUAUAAAAAAAACAACCUUUCGCCUUAUAAAACAAAACAAGUUUACUUACUAUAAAAAAAGAAGAAAGCGGCAACACACACCUUUUUUCUCAAAGUCAACUUUCUCGCUUCUUGCUUUAGAAAGAUUGCAGCGUUAGCGCUUCUUGACUAAGAACAUCAUAGAAAGUCAAGGCUCCUCUCCUUUUCUACGAAUCUACAACUCUCUUUACUGAGCGAGACUCCAUCCAUAUCCCUACUAGUGGUUAUAUUUAAAAUUUUCAAUUUUAUCAUUUGUUUGACAGCCUAAACUAGGCUCCAUUUUAGAUAGGUUUUCGGUCUAAAUAAAAAAAAUGGGUCAGGUCAGGGGCGCGUCGGAACGGUCGGUGGCUGCUUAGUCUCAUCCGAGAGUCUAAUCUCUUUUUACUUAUUUAUUUAAAAUUAAUAAAAUAAAUAAGGGGGUCGAUUUAGGCUCCUUCCCUUCAACUGCAUAGCUGCGCUAGCAGGUACUAUGAGCCCUCUGUCCCACGCAUCUAACCAGCUCGCGUGGUUCACCGGUUCCACCGAAAACUCUCAUUUGUUGAAGCGGAGCAUAGUGCGCUUUAGGCGCCGAGCGAGAAAGGUCUCUUUUUUCUUUCUUUUCGGUUUAUUCACUGAUCUGAAACUUAUCACUUGUUUUAUUAUUAAUUCAAGGGGUGGCGAUGUUCUUGAAUGAAGUCUAUCCGAACCGAAUUAGAACUUCUCAGAUCAGGCUAGGCCUCUCCAGCUCCGCUGGGCGUCGGGGCCCUGGAUGCGCUAGCGAUCGGCACAUAGGGGGUGGUUGUCCGGGUUUCUC
rnacentral:lncRNA from 1 species